UUGGAGGGCAAGUCUGGUGCCAGCAGCCGCGGUAAUUCCAGCUCCAAUAGCGUAUAUUAAAGUUGUUGCAGUUAAAAAGCUCGUAGUUGAAUUUCGGGGUUAGUAGGUUGGUCAUGCCACUGGUAUGUACUGGUCUCACUGAUUCCUCCUUCCUGAUGAGACGUAAUGCCAUUAAUUUGGUGUUGCGAGGAAUCUGGACUGUUACUUUGAAAAAAUUAGAGUGUUUAAAGCAGGCUAACGCUUGAAUACAUUAGCAUGGAAUAAUGAAAUAGGACGUUCGAUCUUAUUUUGUUGGUUUCUAGGAUUGACGUAAUGAUUAAUAGGGAUAGUUGGGGGCAUUAGUAUUCAAUUGUCAGAGGUGAAAUUCUUGGAUUUAUUGAAGACUAACUACUGCGAAAGCAUUUGCCAAGGAUGUUUUCAUUAAUCAAGAACGAAAGUUAGGGGAUCGAAGACGAUCAGAUACCGUCGUAGUCUUAACCAUAAACUAUGCCGACUAGGGAUCGGAUGAUGUUAAUUUUUUAAUGACUCAUUCGGCGCCUUACGGGAA
rnacentral:rRNA from 1 species